AUUCAUUAACGCGUUUCACCUUUAAGGCUUUAUCAAAAUAGUUAUUUUGAUAAAGCCUUAAAGGUGAAACGCGUUAAUGGUUUUAAAUUGUGU